GGCGUCCCAAGUGGGAAUCGCAUAUUGGGCCUAAAGCGUUCGUAGUUGGCUUUGUAAAUUUCUCGUGAAAUCGUUGUGCUUAACGCAACGGCGUGCGGGAAACACUGCAUAGCUAGGAACCGGGAGGGGUCAGAAGUACUCCUACGGGAGCGGUAAAAUGUGAUAAUCGUAGGAAGACUACCUGUGGCGAAGGCGUCUGACUAGAACGGCUUCGACAAUCAGGAACGAAGGCCAGGGGAGCAAACCG
rnacentral:rRNA from 1 species